rnacentral:tRNA from 1 species
GAGGAUGUAUCUUAGUUAGUAGAGUGCUUGCCUGGNGAGCAUGAGGCCAGCCACAUGGUCCUGGGUUCAAUCCCUAGCACUACCA